AUACGUAGGUGACAAGCGUUAUCCGGAUUUACUGGGCGUAAAGGGCGUGUAGGCGGUCUUGCAAGUCAGAAGUGAAAUUCCUGAGCUCAACUCGGGCGCUGCUUCUGAAACUGCAGGACUUGAGUGCUGGAGGGGAUAGCGGAAUUCCUAGUGGAGCGGUAAAAUGCGCAGAUAUUAGGAAGAACACCGGUGGCGAAGGCGGCUAUCUGGACAGUAACUGACGCUGAGGCGCGAAAGCGUGGGGAGCAAACAGGAUUAGAUACCCUGGUAGUCCACACUGUAAACGAUGAAUGCUAGGUGUAGGAGGUAUCGACCCCUUCUGUGCCGCAGUAAACACAGUAAGCAUUCCGCCUGGGGAGUACGGUCGCAAGAUUAAAACUCAAAUGAAUUGACGGGG
rnacentral:rRNA from 1 species